rnacentral:misc_RNA from 1 species
GUGAAUCAUCGAAUUUUUGAACGCAAAUUGCGCUUCCUGGUAUUCCGGGAAGUAUGCCUGUUUGAGGGUCAGUAUUAACAAAAAAAUCGGUUUGGUUGCAAUUUGUGACGUUUCCGGAGGUUGGGCUAUGUUAAGUUUUUUGGUUAGGGGGCUUAAAUUUGACAUUUUUUGCGCCUUUUUAGACGUAAAUAUUUUUUUUUUUAUUCGUUUAUUGUUAAUGUCAAAAUCUUAUUAGAUGGGUUCACAUCGU